GAUGAAGAACGCAGCGAAAUGCGAUACGUAAUGUGAAUUGCAGAAUUCAGUGAAUCAUCGAAUCUUUGAACGCACAUUGCGCCCGCCAGCACUCUGGCGGGCAUGCCUGUUCGAGCGUCAUUUCAACCAUCAAGCCCCAGGCUUGCGUUGGAGCCCUGCGGCUGCCAGCCUCCUAAAAGCAGUGGCGGGCUCGCUAUCACACCGAGUGCAGUAGAUUACUCUUCGCUCAGGGCGUGCAGCGGGUUCCGGCCGUGAAACCCCCUACUUUUAAAGGUUGACCUCGGAUCAGGUAGGAAUACCCGCUGAACUUAAGCAUAUCAAUAAGCGGAGGA
rnacentral:misc_RNA from 1 species